AGCUCAGUUGGUUAGAGCACUGGAUUGUGGUUCCAGGGGUCGUGGGUUCAAAUCCCAUC
rnacentral:tRNA from 1 species